CGAUAUCCGACGAGUUUGAUCAUGGCUCAGAAUCAACGCUGGCGGCGUGCCUCAGACAUGCAAGUCGAACGAUUAAAGCUCUCUUCGGAGAGUGCAUAGAGUGGCGCACGGGUGAGUAACACGUAAGUAAUCUACCUUCGAGUGGGGAAUAACGUCCGGAAACGGGCGCUAAUACCGCAUAAUGCAGCGGCAUCGCAAGAUGACAGUUGUUAAAGGAGCAAUCCGCUUGAAGAGGAGCUUGCGGCAGAUUAGCUAGUUGGUAGGGUAAUGGCCUACCAAGGCUACGAUCUGUAACCGGUCUUAGAGGACGGUCGGUCACACUGACACUGAAUAACGGGUCAGACUCCUACGGGAGGCAGCAGUCGGGAAUUUUGGGCAAUGGGGGAAACCCUGACCCAGCAACGCCGCGUGAAGGAUGAAGUAUUUCGGUAUGUAAACUUCGAAAGAAUAGGAAGAAUUAAUGACGGUACUAUUUAUAAGGUCCGGCUAACUACGUG
rnacentral:rRNA from 1 species